AUUGUAUUGCUUUAGACUUCAAAUGGGUUAACAAUUCUUCAAGUUGCUUGCUUUAGUGUUAAAAACAGAAUAGAAAGCAAAAGUAUAAAAUGCUGGUAAAUAAAUGACUGGAGCUUAAAAACCAGGGCUGAACUCUUCUUGUUACUUGAAGGAGGGGCUGUGUCACCCUUUUCUCCACUGUAGAUCUGAAGCUUCAGGUUUAAAAAAAGCAGCUGCGUCAUGCUGGCUCCUGUGCACUCUUAAAAGGAGAAGAUUACAAACCCACAGAGGAAGUCUGACAGGAAAAAAGGCCUCAGGAAGACCUGCUCUAGAGGAGCACCUCUACUAUCUACAGGCAAGCAGAAGCUGGAGAACAGACAGGUUUAUAUAUUCUCCUUCAGAAGUGAGACAAAAUGGCUGCACAGAAAAAGAAACAGCUGCCCUGAAAGAAUAUGCAGAGCCAUGGCUAAGGAACCAAGAAAUGCUUUUAUAGAACAAUGGGGGAGGCCAACAAUUUAACAGCAACUCCAGGCAAAUGCUUUACCAAGCCGACUAAGCAAUGCAUGCAUUUCUCCAUGCAGGAUAAAAAUAUGGCUCCAGAUGCUCAGAAGUGGGGUAGGCCUUUGUGAAAAUUAGACUUGUACCCCUUAUUUGUUAAAUUUACAAAAUUAUAUAUAACCAAUACUGUAAGCUUAAGAAGUCAUUUUUACUUGUUAUGCAGACUCUCACAUAUAUAAACUACAUCCCAGACAUUCUAAACAAGGUCACUUGCAACAAAAAGUCAACUUCCCUCCUCAAAACAUUUUUUAAAGUGGAUCUGUUCAAGUGACUAACACACCUGCUGUUUAUCCAUUCACAAUUUUCUAAUCAAUUAAUUUUGGAUGUAUUUCAGGGGAACAGAUGCAUAAACAUAGGUUUCACUUUAAUCUGCACAGAAAAAUGAAAAUUAACUUCUCAGAACAUGAUAGAGCAGGUUUGGUUAGUAAAAAUCUAUGGCAAUUUAUAGUGAUCCUGUGCAGCAGACCCACUCAAACAGAAGCAGGGCAGGGUUGGGAAGUAAUGUCUCAGCAAUGAGAGGAAGUCACUGUUCAAGUCUAUGGUGUUCUGAAGAACCAGCAGCUUGAAAUGACACCAUGCUGUGAAUUGCAGGAUCUAGACCGGACAACCUGCUUGGGCCACUAAAGCAGUGCAUUUUCCGGGAGGUGUCAGUUCCCCCACGGUUAUUUAUUAUUCCGAAGCCGUUUUGACUUUCUAAGGGAACCUAUGGAUUCAACUGCCUUCUUCCGUUUCCGAGGAGCCUCCUCGCUUGGUGCUGACCGUGAGGACUCUCCCACUGCGCUCUCCAUAACCUCUCGUAGUUUGCGCUCAAGUUCAGCCAGCCGGGCAUUCUGCUCACCUAUGAUCUGGGUUUGUUCAAGUAGUUUCUGAUCUUGGUCUUGGAGCUGCUUCUGCUGCUCUUGCACUUUGGUGCGGAGCUCUGAAAUCUCACGCCUCAGCACAGUCACGCCUGCACCAUUGGUUUUAAUUUGUUGCUGGAGUUUGGUAACUUCCUGCCUUGAUGGGUUUUGUUUGGAGAAAAGCUGCAUUGUAGUUAAGGCUGCAGAAGGACCUGGAACUGCAGAAAAAAGAAAUUUAAGAUUCUCCCCUGCUUUAUGUCAGAUUUUAACUCUGUAUCUCAAAAAAGGGAUAUGAAAGUUUUUUAAGUAAAUACGAACAAGCAAAAUUACUAUUCUACAAGGUAAAAAACAAAUGCUUCAGUAGGUGAUGGGGUGUUAUGUGAAUAUUGUAACAUUCCUGUUUAUCAGGUAAGGAGUAAAACGCUGUUUAGAGGAGCUCUGCAUUGCAGCCAGUAGAACAGGUUGCCCUUCAAGCCAACAUAUCCCUUUUAACAGUGUGUUUUUUCAAUGUCACAUUGCAAACUCUGUAUAGUACUGAGUAAACCUUUCUCCCAGAUGUACCAAAAGUGCUUCUCUGUAAAGGACUCCUGUGUCACUAGAGCAGCAUACAAAUAACUAAACCAUGUUAGCAGAGGCUAAUUGUAUAGUUCUCUCACACAAACCAGAACUUCAUUCCUCCCACCAUAAUACUUCCAAGGUGAUGUGUUGAUUCCAUAUUCAGUAUUAUCAUGAGUUUCCCCCAUAUAAUUGUGCCAUUUAAAUGCUACUACAACCAUGCAGGAGCCAUUCACAGAAACACAUUCAG
rnacentral:lncRNA from 1 species